ensembl:snRNA U6 U6 spliceosomal RNA
GUGCUUGCUUCUGCAGUACAUAGACUAAAAUUGGAAUGAUACAGAAAAGAUUAGCAUGACCCCUGUCCAAAGGUGAUGCACAAUUUAUGAGUUUCACUUGUCUUUU